rnacentral:rRNA from 1 species
GACGAACGCUGGCGGCGUGCUUAACACAUGCAAGUCGAACGGAAAGGCCCUGCUUUUGUGGGGUGCUCGAGUGGCGAACGGGUGAGUAACAAGUGAGUAGCCUGCCCUUGACUUUGGGAUAACUUCAGGAGACUGGGGCUAAUACCGGAUAGGAUCUCCUGCUGCAUGGUGGGGGUUGGAUAGUUUCGGGGGUUGGGGAUGGACUCGCGGCUUAUCAGCUUGUGGGUGGGGUAGUGGCUUACCAAGGCUUGGAGGGGUAGCCGGCCUGGGGGGGUGACCGGCCAAAUUGGGACGGGGAUACGCCCAGACCCCCACGGGGGGGAAGAGGGGGGGAAAAUGCAACAAGGGGCGAAGGCCGGAGGCAGAAACGCCGGUGGCGGGAGAACGGCUUCGGGGUUGUAAACGGUUUUAGCAGGGGACGAGGUGGGAGUGACGGUAACGGGAAAAGAAGCACCGGCUAACUACGUG